rnacentral:rRNA from 1 species
UUCUAUUAGAAAUAAUUAAUAGUAAAAUCUGCUCAAUGAAACUUAAAUAGCCGCAAUUCGUGCUAAGGUAGUAUAAUAAUUUGUUUUUUAAUUAAAAACCAAACGAAAGAUUUAACAUUUCAAUUUAUUUAAAUAUUUAAAUAUUUAAAUUAUUUUAAUUAUUACAAAAUAAUUAUAAAUUAAAAAGACGACAAGACCCUAUUGAACUUAACUUUAGUUAAACUGGGGCAGUUAAUUAAAUAUAAUUUUAAUUUAAAUAAAACCACAUAUGACCUAAUAUUAUUAAUUAAUAAAUCAAGUUACCAUAGGGAUAACAGAGUAAUAGUUUUUUAAAGUUCUCAUAUAAAAAACAGAUUGCAACCUCGAUGUUGAAUAAUACUCUUAUUAACGCAAUAGUAAAUAAAGAAAGUCUGUUCGACUUUUAAAAAAUUACA